UCGGAAACUGGGAAACUUGAGUGCAGAAGAGGACAGUGGAACUCCAUGUGUAGCGGUGAAAUGCGUAGAUAUAUGGAAGAACACCAGUGGCGAAGGCGGCUGUCUGGUCUGUAACUGACGCUGAGGCUCGAAAGUAUGGGUAGCAAACAGGAUUAGAUACCCUGGUAGUCCAUACCGUAAACGAUGAAUGCUAAGUGUUGGAGGGUUUCCGCCCUUCAGUGCUGCAGCUAACGCAUUAAGCAUUCCGCCUGGGGAGUACGGCCGCAAGGCUGAAACUCAAAGGAAUUGACGGGGGCCCGCACAAGCGG
rnacentral:rRNA from 1 species